GCCUGGGUGGCUCAGUAGGUUAAAGCAUCUGACUGCGGCUCAGGUCACGGUCUAUGGUUCGUGGGUUUGAGCCCCGCGUCGGGCU
rnacentral:tRNA from 1 species